AUGUAUUCGUGCACAGUAGUGUUAUUUUUUAUUGUCAUCGUAAUUAUUAUUUUUGCCUCACUGUCAACACAUCUUUUUUAUUAUAGCCGCAUCUUGCUUUGUCUUUUACAGUGGUUGCCCUCAGGCUGCAGAGUCAGUAUGAUGCCAUCAAGUGUCAUUCCUAAUCACCUGUGGCUCUUGGGGAUCUCGUUAAGAUUGCUGUUAUUAACCUGCCACUCAGCAUCUUCUUGACUCUUAUUUAGGCUUAGUUUCAUGUUAAAAUUGUGACCCUUUUCAGCAAUCUCAAUCUGCCUUAUCCUGCCUUAUUUAUUUAUUUUUGAGGAAGAUUAGCCCUGAGUUAACAUGUACUGCCAAGGUCUGCACCUGGGAUCUAAACUGGCAAACCCGGCCGCUGAAGCAGAAUGUGCAAACUUAACCACUGUGUCACCAGGCCAGCCCCUACCCUGCUUUAUUUUUAUAGCACAUAUUACAUUCUAAAAUGGUUUGUUAGUUAGGUAUUUCGUUGUUUGUAUAUUUUUAUCUCUGUCCCUCAUGCCAUUUCCCACCACUAGAAAGUAAGUUACACAAGCUUUUUGUGUGUCUUGUUCACUGAUGAAUCCUCAGUGCCUGACACUUGGUAGGUGCUCAGUAAAAAUUUGUUGAAUGAAUAAUUGAAUUGUUUUUUAAAUUAUUAAAUUGCAAAAUUUUAAAAAUUUCAUCUGUAUCUCUGUUCCUAUAAUCCUGCCUCAGUUGGUAUUUGUUGUUUAGUUUGUUGUGUUAUAUUGUGAUCAUACUCCUCUGGUGUCUAAGUACUUUGAUUCACAAACGCAUGUUCUCUACUACCCUUUCUGAUAAUGGAUGUGUUGGAAGAGCAAAAGGGCCGACUUUAGCUUUAUCCCUUCCACAAGAGUGAGGGUUCGAGAGCAGAGAGCUCCAGGCCCCGCCAGGACUCGAGUACGCUGUCUCUGCUACUGUUUCUUUGGACAGCAUUUGCCUUGAAAAUCAUAUUCCAGCGGAAGGCUGCUGUAAUCCACCACAAUCUUGGAGGUUU
rnacentral:lncRNA from 1 species